AGGCAACGGGAAGCUCACCAGGGAAGUGAGACAGCCCAGGAAGCAUCAUACUUGAAAUGGCAUGGCAAGCCACCCAAGGUUCAAAUCUUGCCCCUGAUAUUUACUACCUAUGUGUCCUCAGGGCCACCAUUCUAGGGGAAAACUUCCAGACUGUGCCUCAGAGGUCAUCCAUCCAACCUCACAGCUAUCUAGAGGAGCCCCAGAUGAUCAUCGGCACCAUUACUUGAAUGCUUCCCACGGCAGAGAGAUUGUGACCUUAUGAAACACUUUUCCCAAAGUAAGGCGGUUCUAUUUCUUAAAAAGGUCUUUCUUAAAUUGAGCAAAAAUUAUUUGCACCCAAUAAUCCUGGUUCUGCCUUCUGAACUCCAUACGUAUUAAGUAAAAUCCCUCUUCUGCAUGGAAGCCCUUUAAAAAUUUAAGAUAUCUAUCCUAGCUCACCAUCUUUCCCCACCUCAACUUGUCUAAAUAGCUACAGUUUCUUCCAGAAUUUCUGCUGUGACAUAACUCUGAAUCCUCUUCUUACCCUGGUCUUUGUUGUUGUUGCUCAAUCAUUUCAGUUGCGUCUGACUUUUUG